GAUGAACGCUGGCGGCGUGCCUAAUACAUGCAAGUCGAGCGAACGGACGAGAAGCUUGCUUUUCUGAUGUUAGCGGCGGACGGGUGAGUAACACGUGGAUAACCUACCUAUAAGACUGGGAUAACUUCGGGAAACCGGAGCUAAUACCGGAUAAUAUUUUGAACCGCAUGAUUCAAAAGUGAAAGACGGUCUUGCUGUCACUUAUAGAUGGAUCCGCGCUGCAUUAGCUAGUUGGUAAGGUAACGGCUUACCAAGGCAACGAUGCAUAGCCGACCUGAGAGGGUGAUCAGCCACACUGGAACUGAGACACGGUCCAGACUCCUACGGGAGGCAGCAGUAGGGAAUCUUCCGCAAUGGGCGAAAGCCUGACGGAGCAACGCCGCGUGAGUGAUGAAGGUCUUCGGAUCGUAAAACUCUGUUAUUAGGGAAGAACAUAUGUGUAAGUAACUGUGCACAUCUUGACGGUACCUAAUCAGAAAGCCACGGCUAACUACGUG
rnacentral:rRNA from 1 species